rnacentral:tRNA from 2 species
CGGAGUGUGGCGCAGACCGGUAGCGCGCCUGCUUUGGGAGCAGGAUGUCGGGGGUUCAAAUCCCUCCACUCCGACCA